GAUGAAGAACGCAGCGAAAUGCGAUAAGUAGUGUGAAUUGCAGAAUUCAGUGAAUCAUCGAAUCUUUGAACGCACAUUGCGCCCCUUGGUAUUCCAUGGGGCAUGCCUGUUCGAGCGUCAUUUGUACCUUCAAGCUUUGCUUGGUGUUGGGUGUUUGUCCAUUCUCUUGCAGAGGGACUCGCCUUAAAGUAAUUGGCAGCCAGUGUUUUGGUUUUGAAGCGCAGCACAAGUCGCGAUUCAACGCUAUACGCCAGCUUCCACAAGCCUUUUCACUUUUGACCUCGGAUCAGGUAGGGAUACCCGCUGAACUUAAGCAUAUCAAUAAGCGGAGGA
rnacentral:misc_RNA from 1 species